GUAAUUAUAAAAGGAGUGGCCUAAGAUCAAGUGUACUACUGUUCCUAUCAGUUUAAUAUCUGAUAUAUGAGCCAUUGGCUCACAUGAUACCAAAUUAAUUUUUUUAGGGAAAGGGCCCACCACAGUAGCUUGCUGCAUGGGACGACUCUUGCGUCUCGUUGGCUUUGCACUACAGUCGCAGCCUGGCUUAGCCCAC